GACGAACGCUGGCGGCGUGCUUAACACAUGCAAGUCGAGCGGUAAGGCCCUUUCGGGGGUACACGAGCGGCGAACAGGUGAGUAACACGUGGGUGACCUGCCCUUAGCUCUGGGAUAAGCCUGGGAAACUGGGUCUAAUACCGGAUAUGACUCCAUGACGCAUGUUGUGGGGUGGAAAGCCUUGUGCGGCUAGGGAUGGGCCCGCGGCCUAUCAGCUUGUUGGUGGGGUGAGGCCUACCAAGGCGACGACGGGUAGCCGGCCUGAGAGGGCGACCGGCCACACUGGGACUGAGACACGGCCCAGACUCCUACGGGAGGCAGCAGUGGGGAAUCUUGCGCAAUGGGCGAAAGCCUGACGCAGCGACGCCGCGUGAGGGAUGACGGCCUGGU
rnacentral:rRNA from 1 species